ensembl:processed_transcript Gm15787 predicted gene 15787
AGACACCGCCUCCACCACAGUUCUGACAACUUGUUCCUAAGUGUUUGUCAGUCUUGUUUGUAUUAUUGCCAGUGUUAUACAUGGCCGGACACUGCGCCACGCGACUGCAUUGCCAGCCACGAGGAAGUCUGACAAGUAUCACAAGCUCGAGGACUGACUGGACUAUAAAGUGGGACUUGUCUUAAAAGACCAGGAGCAACAUUGGAGAUGAUGCAGAAAGUGGCAUCUGUCUUUGCUACUCACAUCCAUACAGCAAUGAACAAAGGAGAACAGUUUUCAUAGCCCAUGCCAAGAUUGUCAGACAAGAAAAACAAAUCUAUCUGAAAACCAAGUGAAGGAAAUGAUGCUGCUCCAGUGGUAUCUAUAAUGUCUUUAUUUGUCUUGACCAACUCUGAGAAGCAAGUUCGAGCUCAACCAUCCUGUGUGUCCGACUUCUGCUAAGUGUGGAGCAUCAUGCCAUCCCAAGUGCCUGUUAGAACUGAGUGGUGACACCAAUACAGACAGAAAUGGUUCGUGGGCUCCUUACCUGGCAACUCAGAAGCAGGAAUGUUCUGACGAUACUGGUAGGUCAGCUCUCGGAAGCUACGCAGACCACAGCAGUAACACAGCACAGUAUUUCCAGUGAUUCUGUAAUCUGGGGGAACACAGCCAUAUCUGGACACAGCCAUUUAUCAAGCAAUGUCAUUUUCUAACACCAAAAUAGACACACUUCAAACUAGUAGGAAACUAACACAUCAACUCAAUGGGUUAGACAUUUGGAAAAUAAUCCCAAAACCAAUCUAAAUACCAAUUUAGCUGGAUUUUUAUUUAUUUUUAUUUUAUCAGUGUUUAUGUGCAUUAAUGUCUGGGCAUCAUAUGUGUGCAGUAGGUGCAAAGAUGGAUCCUCUGGCACCAGAGUUACAGAUAGUCAUGAGCCACCAUGUAGGCGCUGGGAACCCUGGUCCUCUCCAAGAGCAACGCAUGCUCACAGCUACUAAAAUAAUCACCCGUGGAUUAAAAUUUUAAAUAUUUAAAAAUCCCCCCAAAAGUUUUAAGAUUGGAGAGAGUAUUCUCUUGUGCUAAAGUAAAUUAAAUUAGUAAUUCCUUAUCUGAAAUACAUGGGUCAGAGGUAUUUAAUAUGGUUAAUUAUUCCUUAUCUAGAACAUGUAGGUCACUGGUAUUCUGGCUUAGAUUGAUUUUUCAGAUUUGAACAUAUUUGCGUUUAUGUUCCCAAGGAUUAAAAUAAAUUGUGUGUAUAAGUGUUUUGCCUG